rnacentral:rRNA from 1 species
UAAGACGAACCGUGCGAACGUUAUUCGGAAUCAUUGGGCUUAAAGAGCGCGUAGGCGGCGACGUAAGUUGGAAGUGAAAUCCCAUCGGCUCAACCGUGGAAUCGCUCCCAGUACUGCGUUGCUCGAGGGAGAUAGGGGCCUGUGGAACUGCCGGUGGAGCGGUGAAAUGUGUUGAUAUCGGCGGGAACGCCAGUGGCGAAAGCGACAGGCUGGACCUUUUCUGACGCUGAGGCGCGAAAGCUAGGGGAGCAAACGGGAUUAGAUACCCCGGUAGUCCUAGCCUUAAACGAUGGGUACUGGGUAGAAAGUGUACCGAUAGCACCUUCUGCCGGAGCGAAAGUGUUAAGUACCCCGCCUGGGGAGUAUGGUCGCAAGGCUG